rnacentral:rRNA from 1 species
ACGAACGCUGGCGGCGUGCUCAACCCAUGCAAGUCGCACGGAAAGGCCCUGCUUUUGUGGGGUGCUCGAGUGGCGAACGGGUGAGUAACACGUGAGUAACCUGCCCUUGACUUUGGGAUAACUUCAGGAAACUGGGGCUAAUACCGGAUAGGAGCUCCUGCUGCAUGGUGGGGGUUGGAAAGUUUCGGCGGUUGGGGAUGGACUCGCGGCUUAUCAGCUUGUUGGUGGGGUAGUGGCUUACCAAGGCUUUGACGGGUAGCCGGCCUGAGAGGGUGACCGGCCACAUUGGGACUGAGAUACGGCCCAGACUCCUACGGGAGGCAGCAGUGGGGAAUAUUGCACAAUGGGCGGAAGCCUGAUGCAGCAACGCCGCGUGCGGGAUGACGGCCUUCGGGUUGUAAACCGCUUUCGCCUGUGACGAAGCGUGAGUGACGGUAAUGGGUAAAGAAGCACCGGCUAACUACGUG